rnacentral:rRNA from 1 species
AUUGAACGCUGGCGGCAGGCCUAACACAUGCAAGUCGAGCGAGCGGCGGACGGGUGAGUAAUGUCUGGGAAACAGUCUGAUGGAGGGGGAUAACUACUGGAAACGGUAGAGAAAACCGCAUACCAUCAGAUGUGCGCCGAUGGGAUUAGCUCGUAGGUGGGGUAACGGCUCACCUAGGCGACGAUCCCUAGCGGGUCUGAGAGGAAGACCAGCCACACUGGAACUGAGACACGGUCCAGACUCCUACGGGAGGCAGCAGUGGGGAAUAUUGCACAAUGGGCGCAAGCCUGAUGCAGCCAUGCCGCGUGUGUGAAGAAGGCCUUCGGGUUGUAAAGCACUUUCAGCGGGGAGGCGUUACCCGCAGAAGAAGCACCGGCUAACUCCGUGCCAGCAGCCGCGGUAAUUC